AGCUCUUCAUUGCCUCUACAAAGCACGCAUUCAAGGGGGUAAAAAAAUGUGUCUACAGUUUGCCUUUCCCUUUGACGAAGUUUGGGAACAGCGCCAAAGGGUGCAAACCUUUAUUCUGCUGGUCAGCGGUCUUCCUUGCCCCUGGGCAGGAGAAGGCCUUUUUCCCCUUGCUCAGAGCGUGGAUUUUCCCUCCUCACCUUCGGGUAGGGCUAUAAUAUACUUUUUGUGGCUUUUGUGCACAAGUUGAGCUUCUAAUGGAGGGUAUUAGUGACUUGCCAUGAGAUGAUUCUGCAACUCCCCUAAGCUCUGUUGAGGGGUUUUGCUUUGUUGUUGAGAUUGUAGAGCUUUGGACUAGUUUCUCUACUUUACGAGUGCUGUGAAGGUUGGUACCUUAGGGGGAUGCUCACGAUACUCCCGAAGAGUCUUCAAUCCUUGAGUCCCUCUUCAAUUGCACUAAGGUCUGGGAUGGUUGUUGUUUUUUGAGAGCUUAGGUCUCAUUUCGUUUUCAGUAGUUCUGCUUGGUGGCCUUAGGGUUUAUUUAUUUGGACUAAGAGCUAAUUGUAUUAGUUGGUAGGGUUUGUGCUGGUUUGGGAUGAUAGGAGCCCAAAUUUGUUAUUAGGCCUUGAGCCUUGGCUUGUAAUAAUUCCCUUUUUAUAUGAAUUAGUUAUUUUUUAAA